AUGGCCGGAAUUGUCAACAAGGAGUUUCCUGAGUUGGCCUAGACAGGGUUGAACUACCUAUCAUGGUCCUUGGACUGCAAGAUUUUUCUCCAGGGCAAAACCCUUCUAAGGGCGAUUGGUAAGGGGGCCCAGCUGGCCGCCACUGAUCCCAAGUUCGAAACUGAGAAUGCGCAGGCUCUGCACUUUCUCCGUCAUCACCUGUCACCUACUCUGAAAGAUGAGUAUAUGGCUGAGCGCAGUGCUUCUGGCCUUUGGACCGCUCUUAAGCAGCGGUUUGAGCGGCUAAAGUACACUGUGAAGCCACUUGGAGAGGCAGAGUGGAUCCCUCUGAGCUAGACGAUUGAGAAAACCCUAUCCACUUUCCACCCUGAUGCGGUCUAGUCCUCACGGAACUACCGCCAGGGGAACUACAUGAGGUAUUCAGAGUUGAUUGACGUCCUCCAGGUGGCGGAGGCGCAGGACGAGGUUCUCAAAAAUAACUUUGUCGCGCAACCACUUGGGGAGGUGAACGCUCUCAAAGUCCGCAAGCCUCAACAGAAUAAGAGGGGCCCUAAGAAGAACAAGCCAGGCAAGGGAGGGCAAAGGCCUCAGGACUGCUUUCGUUGUGGCUCGGUGGAGCAUUUCUCCCGCCAGUGCCGCGCACCACCGGAGGUCGUCGAAGCAUGCAAGGCUCGGAAGGUGCAUGAGACGCACCUCGCCUUGGUUCAGGAGGGAGCACCACCGGCGCCCAUGGCGGCACCUGUGAUGAUCUCUACGCCCCUGCUGGGCCCAUAG
rnacentral:rRNA from 1 species